rnacentral:rRNA from 1 species
CCGAUCUAAGCGGCCGACGGGCGAGUAAUGCUCAGGAAUCUGCCUAGUACUGGGGGACAACAUUUCUAAAGGAAUGCUAAUACCGCACACGUCCUACUGGAGAAAGCAAGGGAUCUUCGGACCUUGGGCUAAUAGAUGAGCCUAUGUCGGAUUACCUACUUGGUGGGGUAAAGGCCUACCAAGGCGACCAUCUGUAGCGGGUCUGACAGGAUGAUCCGCCACACUGGGACUGACACACUGCCCAUACUCCUACGGGAGGCAGCAUUGGGGAAUAUUGGACAAUGGGCGCACGCCUGAGCCAGCCAUGCCGCGUGUGUGACGAAGGCCUUAUGGUUGUAGAGCACUUUAAGCGAGGAUGAGGCUACUUUAGUUAAUACCUACAGAUAGUGGACGUUACUCGCAUAAUAAGCACCGGCUAACUCUGUGCCAGCAGCCGCGGUAAUACAGAGGGUGCAAGCGUUAAUCGGAUUUACUGGGCGUAAAGCGCGCGUAGGCGGCUAAUUAAGUCAGAUGUGAAAUCCCCGAUCUUAACUUGCGAAUUGCAUUCGAUACUGGUUAGCUAAAGUGUGGGAAAUGAUGGUAGAAUUACGAGUGUAGCGGUGAAAUGCGUACAGAUCUGGAGGAAUACCGAUGGAGAAAGCAGCCAUCUGGCCUAACACUGACGCUCAGGUGCGAAAGCAUGGGGAGCAAACAGGAUUA